AUUAGGAUUAGGUGUAGGUUUAGGUUUAGGGAUUUGAGAAUACAUUUAGGUUUUAGGUUUAGGUUAAGGUUUAGGUUUAGGUUUAGGUUAAGGUUUAGGUUUAGGUCAUAAGCUAUAGGUUUAGGGAAUUGAGAAUAGGUUAAGGUUUAGGUUUAGGAAAUCGGGUUCAGGUUCGGGUUCGGGAUCGGGUUUAGGUUUGGGUUUUCAAGUUUAAGUUUAGGUUUAGGUUAGGGAGUUGAGAUUAGGAUUAGGUGUAGGUGUAGGUUUAGGUUUAGGGAUUUGAGAAUACAUUCAGGUUUUAGGUUUAGGUUUAGGUUUAGGUUUUAGGUUAUAGGUUAAGGUUUAGGUUUUAGGUUUAGGUUAAGGUUAGGUUAUAGGUUAUAAGUUUAGGUUUUGGUUUAGGUUAAGGUUAUAGGUUUAGGUUAAGGUUUAGGUUUAGGUUUAGGUCUAGGUUAUAAGCUAUAGGUUUAGG